UGUCUGAUGGUGUAAUGGUAGCACUUGUGAUUUUGGUUCAUACAGUCCAGGUUCGAAUCCUGGUCGGACAACAA
rnacentral:tRNA from 1 species